AGUCUCCUACAGUGUGGGGUACACUUGCAGUGUCAAUGGAUAGUAACAAUUGCAAUAACUGGAACAACGGUUUUCCGUAGAGCAACAUCCUCGGGUCAGAGCCUCCUAUCCGUAAACAUUCCAAAAAGUGAAAUGUAAGAAACAUAAAAGCAGUGAUCAAGAAAAGGUUAUUGAAGUGCUGUGUCAAGACCAGUCUGCUCCCAUGUUGCCCCUGUUGCCAGCUGAUCAGAAAUGCCUCAUCUUGACUAAAGUAGGGAAAUCAAUGGGACUUCUUGCUUUAUGGAGCAUGACAUUGAGGACUGUCUCCCUACACGCUACAGUGCUUGGCUCACAGAAGGAUAAAUUGGCUAUCAGUUGCAUUGCACCAUAGGAGGAAUAUCUGCCUGGACAAUCCUCUUCUUUAUUUCAUUUCCUUGGAGAGUAAGCCAGAUUUGGAGUCACUAGACGAGGAGGGAGGCGAAGCUAGAAGAGGUGCAGAGUUUGAAUUGUUCAUAGCAGUGUCUGCUUUGGGAGCCAAGGAAAGGUUGGAGAAAGAAGCCAGUGUAUGCCCAGGAGGAACUUCACUUUGUGAAGGGGAGAAAGGAACUUCCAGAAACCAGGAGCUGUAUCAAGACCAUAUCUGUGUCAUAAAAGGAAUUUGAGCCUUCUUCCGUUCAGAUCCAGGGCGGUUGACCUUCUGCCGGCCUCCUUUUUCAUCAGCUCAGCACGUGAGGAGCUGGCCUGUAUCAUUCAGUAAACAGAACGGUGACAGGGGCAGUGGAAGGAGACUGGUCAGAGCAACUAACACCAGUCUUGGUUGAAGUCAAGGUGAUGGAUUAGGGACUCCUGAUCCAUUUGAACUUCAUCCAGCUGAACUCUCGCAACAUUCCUUUCCCUGCAACUUUAAAGUAACACCUCAAAUCAAAUUUUGGAGUGGCACAAUCAACAAAAGGUCGGGGUGAGACAUUUUUUCUGGCAUAAGUAAACUUAGGUCACCAAGAGGACUCUAACACAGUGGUGUAAAGUCCUGUCCAGAGCUGGUGCAACAGCAGCUGCAGCAGCAGCAGCUUUGGGAGUUCUCAGCUCUGAGGCAGUAAGGGUGCUUGUAUAACUGGUCAGAAAGAGAUUACAGAUACUUUGCUGGCACAGGUACAGCUGGUGCUGAUUGCCCAUAAGCAGUUCUGGGUUGCAGUUUCAGGGCAGAGUGGAGCACUAGUGGUCAGCACAAGGGACCAGGGGCUCCUGUC